AAUUUUGGACAAUGGGGGAAACCCUGAUCCAGCCAUCCCGCGUGUAUGAUGAAGGCCAUCGGGUUGUAGAGUACUUUUUGCCGAGAAGAAAAGGUAUCUCAUAAGACGAGAUACUGCUGACGGUUUCUGUAGAAUAAGCACCGGCUACCUACGUGCCAGCACCCGCGGUAAUACGUACGGUGCAAGCGUUAAUCGGAAUUACUGCGCGUAAAGCGUGUGUAGGCGGUUCGGGAAGAAAGAUGUGACAUCCCAGGGCUCAACCUUGGAACUGCAUUUUUAACUGCCGAGCUAGAGUAUGUCAGAGGGGGGUAGAAUUCCACGUGUAGCAGUGAAAUGCGUAGAUAUGUGGAGGAAUACCGAUGGCGAAGGCAGCCCCCUGGGAUAAUACUGACGCUCAGACACGAAAGCGUGGGGAGCAAACA
rnacentral:rRNA from 1 species